rnacentral:rRNA from 1 species
GUAGGUGGCAAGCGUUGUCCGGAAUUAUUGGGCGUAAAGCGCGCGCAGGCGGUUCUUUAAGUCUGAUGUGAAAGCCCACGGCUCAACCGUGGAGGGUCAUCGGAAACUGGAGAACUUGAGUACAGAAGAGGAAAGCGGAAUUCCACGUGUAGCGGUGAAAUGCGUAGAGAUGUGGAGGAACACCAGUGGCGAAGGCGGCUUUCUGGUCUGUAACUGACGCUGAGGCGCGAAAGCGUGGGGAGCAAACAGGAUUAGAUACCCUGGUAGUCCACGCCGUAAACGAUGAGUGCUAAGUGUUAGGGGGUUUCCGCCCCCCUUAGUGCUGCAGCUAACGCAUUAAGCACUCCGCCUGGGAUACGGCCGCAAGGCUG